UGAGGAAUAUUGGUCAAUGGGGGCAACCCUGAACCAGCCAAGUCGCGUGAAGGAUGAAGGUCUUAUGGAUUGUAAACUUCUUUUACACGGGAAUAAAGCGGGGGACGUGUCCCUCUUUGCAUGUACCGUGUGAAUAAGGAUCGGCUAACUCCGUGCCAGCAGCCGCGGUAAUACGGAGGAUCCGAGCGUUAUCCGGAUUUAUUGGGUUUAAAGGGUGCGCAGGCGGGAUGUUAAGUCGGCGGUGAAAUUUUGCAGCUCAACUGUAAAAGUGCCUUCGAUACUGGCCUUCUUGAGUGUGGAUGAAGUAGGCGGAAUUUGUGGUGUAGCGGUGAAAUGCUUAGAUAUCACGAGGAACUCCGAUUGCGCAGGCAGCUUACUAAGCCACAACUGACGCUCAAGCACGAAAGCGUGGGGAUCAAACA
rnacentral:rRNA from 1 species